rnacentral:rRNA from 1 species
CCUACGGGAGGCAGCAGUGGGGAAUAUUGCACAAUGGGGGGAAACCCUGAUGCAGCGACGCCGCGUUGGAGGAAGAAGGUCUUCGGAUUGUAAACUCCUGUUGUUGAGGAAGAUAAUGACGGUACUCAACAAGGAAGUGACGGCUAACUACGUGCC